CUGAAUGCGCUCCUCCCCUCUCCUCUGCACGCAGCAGCACCACCGGGCUUCUAGGCCAGCCUGUCCCCUCGCAAUCUCUGCCCAAAUCUAAGUACCCUCAGGCCGCUUUCCCUUCCACCUUCCUUUACACCUGUGCUCCCGGUAAAUCAGAGCCUUGCCCUCACUAGGACAGAAACGACUUCUAAAAGAAAUGGUUUCACUAUCGUGUUGGUGUGUCUGCAUUCUCACGGGAGGCAUGAAACUGUCCUCUGGCUCGCCCGUCCUCACGCAGCUGGCAGGUGGGAACACCAGGUCUUCCAAGAACAGCAGAGAACUAGGGAGAGAAAGCUGAAAAAGAAACAAGACCUUCGUGUUCUCACAUUACAUUAUACUUUCCAGCCCUUUGAAGUCCUGCAACCCUCCGCCAAGUACUUGGCAAAUCCUGAAACACGCAUCUGCGAAGCUGGGGUUUUUCCUUCACAUUACCUUCCACCUACUUUAAAAUAAACCACUCAUUGUUCAAAAGGGAAAA